AUGGCGGCCAGCCUGUGGCGCGCGGUCAUGGGCUCCUCCUCCUCCUCCUCGUCGGGCGGCGUCGACGACCCGGCGGCUGGCGGCGUGGAGUUCUGGCACGGGGCGGAGCGCGCGGGGUGGCUGACCAAGCAGGGCGAGUACAUCAAGACGUGGCGGCGGCGCUGGUUCGUGCUCAAGCAGGGCCGGCUCUUCUGGUUCAAGGACGCCGCCGUCACGCGCGGCUCCGUGCCCCGCGGGAUCAUCCCCGUCUCCUCCUGCCUCACCGUCAAGGGCGCCGAGGACGUGCUCAACCGCCAGUUCGCCUUCGAGCUCUCCACCCCGGCCGAGACCAUGUACUUCAUCGCCGACGCCGAGAAGGAGAAGGAGGAGUGGAUCAACUCCAUCGGCCGAUCCAUCGUGCAGCACUCCCGCUCCGUCACCGACGCCGAGGUCGUUGACUACGACAGCCGCCCCCAGCCCCCGCCGCAGCCCAAGAAGAGCGAGGCCAGCGAGCCGUCAGAGUAA
rnacentral:rRNA from 1 species